CCAGACUCCUACGGGAGGCAGCAGUGGGGAAUAUUGGACAAUGGGGGAAACCCUUAUCCAGCGACGCCGCGUGAGGGAAGAAGGUUUUCGGAUUGUAAACCUCUGUCAGUGGGGACGAUAAUGACGGUACCCACGGAGGAAGCCACGGCUAACUACGUGCCAGCAGCCGCGGUAAUACGUAGGUGGCAAGCGUUGUCCGGAAUUACUGGGUGUAAAGGGAGCGUAGACGGCAGGGCAAGUCUGGAGUGAAAGCCCGGGGCCCAACCCCCGGACUGCUCUGGAAACUGUAAAGCUGGAGUGCAGGAGAGGUAAGCGGAAUUCCUAGUGUAGCGGUGAAAUGCGUAGAUAUUAGGAGGAACACCAGUGGCGAAGGCGGCUUACUGGACUGCAACUGACGUUGAGGCUCGAAAGCGUGGGGAGCAAACAGGAUUAGAUACCCUCGUA
rnacentral:rRNA from 1 species